rnacentral:misc_RNA from 1 species
GAUGGAGAACGCAGCGAAAUGCGAUACGUAAUGUGAAUUGCAGAAUUCAGUGAAUCAUCGAGUCUUUGAACGCACAUUGCGCCCCCUGGUAUUCCGGGGGGCAUGCCUGUCCGAGCGUCAUUGCUGCCCUCAAGCACGGCUUGUGUGUUGGGCCUCCGUCCUCCUCCCGGGGGACGGGCCCGAAAGGCAGCGGCGGCACCGCGUCCGGUCCUCGAGCGUAUGGGGCUUCGUCACCCGCUCUUGUAGGCCCGGCCGGCGCUUGCCGACACAUCAAUCUUUUUUCCAGGUUGACCUCGGAUCAGGUAGGGAUACCCGCUGAACUUAAGCAUAUCAAUAAGCGGAGG